rnacentral:lncRNA from 1 species
GAUAGAUAGAUAGAUAGAUAGAUAGAUAGAUUAUAUGUACAUAUAUGUGUCUACGUGUGAUCACUCUCGAGUACUACUGAUAACAUGUAGUCCAGUACAACUAAUUAGGUUCCCCACCAAGUUUACUACUUAAGGAGGGUUGGUAAAAACCUUGCGGUAGAAAAAAAAACAAUACCCGAGAAAAGGGCGAGUGCGUCUGACGUAUCAUCAAUGAUUAUUUAGCAUUUGCACCGAGAUAUUGAAAUAAAUAUUCAUUGUGGUGAACGAGUUCACCGCAAAACAAGCCGGGGGUGAUGAACCUCUAGUUCUUGCUAGAACAUCUGUUAUAAAGAAGGUUAUUCUGAUCGUCUCAGCCGAUGAUAAGCUAUCAGGAGGAAAGCUGUUUUAUCUGGAAAAUGAAUGAAAUUCUGCGCGUGCUUCAUUUGCCAUAAUCAGUUUCAUGCACAGAAACUUGUUGGAAAACACCUUAUGGAUCAUUCAAAAAGUCCUGUGGUGAUGAGGAGUUGUGGAACGUACAAGCAAGACCAGCUGGAAGUAUCUUAUUGCAAACCUGCAGGAUUAAAAACAAAUAAUUCAUUAUCGACAGAAACGCAACGUUUUUCAACAGACAUUGAAACAACUACCGUACUUAAUGACGUCAAGGACGAAUGGCGGGUAUAUUAAAGCACGUCGCAAUUUCAGCAGUAUAUAUUCAGGUAUAUACGAAGCGUGAGCUGGCCUUCUAUCAAAAAUUAGAAACCAAUGUUGAAACCAAUAAAGACCGCUUUGGUCAUGAAUGACCAUGGAAUUGCACCUAGAAAGUUAUCCUCAGCAUAACCCUUAAAUCAUAUUGAGGCACCAGAGCUCAAAGGUUGUUUUUGAAAGACCAGCAGUCGCCCAUGCAUACUAGUCUCUCCUCUCCGCGACGCCGAUGUUAUCCAAGGGAAAGGCAAAGGCCGAUACAGCUCACUGCUGCUACAGUUCACUCUUUCAUU